rnacentral:lncRNA from 1 species
AUUUCUUUGUAUCUUUGUUUCUCUGUUUAUUUAUUUAUUUAUUUAUUAAUUAAUUGACGCCCUUACCUGCAUUUGCAUCGGCCUCCCGUCUCCUUGCCUGGCACACCCUGACAACCAAAAACAAGGGAAUUCUGAUUCUGCGCAUUGAUCAGCUUCACAGCUGCUGCAACACACACACACACACACACACGUGUGUGUGUGAAUCGAUGAUGCAUCGAGAAGAGCCCUCCCACUCUACAGGAAGGAGAGAGAAGGGAGGGAGGCGAAGAAGAAGAAGAAGAAGAAGAAAAAAAUCCCCCCACAUGCUAACACUCUUUAGCAUUGAUGGCUUAUUAACGGGUACUGUGAUUUGGCUAGAUGUGUUCAAGGAUCUCCUGUGCGGAGGGAAAGGAUGGUCUCGUACAUCUCGAUUUCAAGGCAGUCCCCUGGCGGUGGUUUCGGCUGAUCAAUACGCUUGUCUGUGAAACGGGUCAUGGGUGCACAUCAAAAGUUAAGUGUUUAAAUAUCCCUGAUGCAUUUUUACCGUAACACAUCCUCGGGAACUGUAAUAAUCAAAGGGUGGGCAUUCGGCGUUCUCCAUUCAUGUUUGUUUUGCGCUGCUUUUGUGUUGUUUUAAUCAAUAAUUUACGGUACAGCCUUGAGUCUUUGUUGAGAAAUGAAAUGAAAAUACAUACAGGUGCAUCUCAAUACUUCGCAUUGAUGCAGUGAUUCUUGCAAAAAAAAAAAAGGGGGCCCUGACCAAGUAUUAAGUGCAUAUACUGUACAUACUAUUCAGUAGGCCAACAUUUUUAUAUUUGGUCUUUUAAAUAAUAUUUUAAUUUGUAUUAGCUGUAAGCUAAUGUAAUUGUUAACAUUAAAAUAAAUAAAUAAAUGCUGG